CUUCCCCUAUAAUAUCUGUGUAGCAAAGAAAUAGUCCCAAAACUGGCCUUUUUCACCCCAAAAUUUACCCCUAUAAGUAAAAAAACUCCUAAAAUUGACCUUUUUCACACCAAAAUCUGCCCCUAAAAUUAUAAUGUUUAGUAAAGAAACAGUCCCAAAAUUGACCUUUUUCACCCCAAAAUUUCACUUAUUUCACUUGAGAUAAAUAGAACUAUUGCAGGGCAACAACAGCCCCAAAAUCGCCCUUUCUCACCCCAAAAUUUUCCC
ensembl:lncRNA